rnacentral:rRNA from 1 species
GAUGAACGCUGGCGGCGUGCUUCCCACAUGCAAGUCGAACGAUGAAGCCCAGCUUGCUGGGUGGAUUAGUGGCGAACGGGUGAGUAACACGUGAGUAACCUGCCCUUAACUCUGGGAUAAGCCUGGGAAACUGGGUCUAAUACCGGAUAGGAGCGUCCACCGCAUGGUGGGUGUUGGAAAGAUUUAUCGGUUUUGGAUGGACUCGCGGCCUAUCAGCUUGUUGGUGAGGUAAUGGCUCACCAAGGCGACGACGGGUAGCCGGCCUGAGAGGGUGACCGGCCACACUGGGACUGAGACACGGCCCAGACUCCUACGGGAGGCAGCAGUGGGGAAUAUUGCACAAUGGGCGCAAGCCUGAUGCAGCGACGCCGCGUGAGGGAUGACGGCCUUCGGGUUGUAAACCUCUUUCAGUAGGGAAGAAGCGAAAGUGACGGUACCUGCAGAAGAAGCACCGGCUAACUACGUG